ACGGGAGGCAGCAGUGAGGAAUAUUGGACAAUGGAUGGAAAUCUGAUCCAGCCAUGCCGCGUGAAGGAUAAGGUCCUAUGGAUUGUAAACUUCUUUUGUACGGGAGCAAUAAGGGUCACGAGUGGUCCGAUGAGAGUACCGUACGAAUAAGCAUCGGCUAACUCCGUGCCAGCAGCCGCGGUAAUACGGAGGAUGCGAGCGUUAUCCGGAUUUAUUGGGUUUAAAGGGUGCGUAGGCGGAACUUCAAGUCAGCGGUGAAACGCAGGGGCUCAACCCCUGACCUGCCGUUGAAACUGGGGAUCUGGAAUGCGGAUGCUGUGGGAGGAAUGUGUGGUGUAGCGGUGAAAUGCAUAGAUAUCACACAGAACACCGAUUGCGAAGGCAUCUCACAAAUCCGUUAUUGACGCUGAGGCACGAAAGUGUGGGGAUCAAACAGGAUUAGAUACCCUGGUA
rnacentral:rRNA from 1 species